GACUGACCUCGGAUCGGGGCGGGACAACCCGCUGAACUUAAGCAU
rnacentral:rRNA from 1 species